UUUCGUACAAAUUUCGGUAUGUAAAGUUUUACUUGGCCGUUUUUGCUCUAAUGAAAUUAUUAUUUGUUUUUCAUUCCUUGCUAAUUGUUUUGAAAAAGCAAAGGAAUAUUUGUAGUGCCUAUAUUAUUAGUGAUAAUCUAUGGUCGCGACUUGGUCUUCAAAGGAGGUCAUUAAAUUUCUGAUUUUGUCAUAAUAUAUUCGAACCUAAUUUUGUCGUGAACACAGAGUGUGUUUAUAUUAAUUGUAUCCUCCGUUCGGUAUAGGAUAUUAAUAAUUACCUCUUGGCGCCGCAGAAGAUAUUUACCGCUGCUCCAUUGAAUAUAAACUGCAAGCAGAAGAUAUAACGUAUAAAUUGUAAUAAAUUAGUUGUUAGAAGUACAUAUUGUUUGGUUAUUAAAGGAAUAAUUAUAAAAAAUAAACAAAUAAUAAGUUUAUGAUAAUAGAUUGAAGUGAAUAAAAAUGUUUUAAGAUUCAUUAGAUGUAUACAA